GACGAACGCUGGCGGCGUGCUUAACACAUGCAAGUCGAACGGAAAGGCCCUGCUUUUGUGGGCUGCUCGAGUGGCGAACGGGUGAGUAACACGUGAGUAACCUGCCCUUGACAUCGGGAUUACCUCAGGAAAAUGGGGCUUGUACCGGAUAGGAGCUCCUGCAGCAUGGUGUGGGUUGGAAAGUUUCGGCGGUAGGGGAGGGACUGGCGGGUUAUCAGCUUGCUGGUGUGGUAGUGGCUUACCAAGGCUUUGACGGGUAGCCGGCCUGGGAGGGUGAGCGGGUACAUUGAGAUUGAGACAGGGACCAGACUCCGACGGGAGGGAGCAGUGGGAAAGAUUGAAUAAUGGGCGGAAGCGUGAUGCAGCAGCGGCGAGGGCGGGAUAACGGCCAGCGGGUUGUAAAGUGAUUUCGCCUGUGACAAAGCGAGAGUGACGGUAAUAUAUAAAGAAGCACCGGCUAACUACGUG
rnacentral:rRNA from 1 species